rnacentral:rRNA from 1 species
GACGAACGCUGGCGGCGUGCCUAACACAUGCAAGUCGAACGGGUCCCGCAAGGGAUCAGUGGCGAACGGGUGCGUAACACGUGAGGAACUUGCCUAUCGGCGGGGGAUAGCCGGCCCAACGGCCGGGUAAUACCGCGUACGACCUUUGGGGGUCGAUCCCUCGGAGGUGAAAGACAGCAAUGCACCGAUAGAGAGCCUCGCGGCC